rnacentral:rRNA from 1 species
AGAGUUUGAUUCUGGCUCAGAACGAACGCUGGCGGCGUGGAUAAGACAUGCAAGUCGUGCGACAGACCAGGAAUUGAUUACUUCGGUUUGAUUUUCCUGACGAUGAGCGGCGAACGGGUGCGUAACACGUGAGAAACCUGCCUUAAAGUUCGGGAUAGCUCGGCGAAAGUCGAAUUAAUACCGGAUGUGGCCUGGGGAUAGCAUUUUCCCUUGGUUAAAGCUCGGUCACAGAGCGCUUUUAGAUGGUCUCGCGGUCUAUCAGCUUGUUGGUGAGGUAACGGCUCACCAAGGCUACGACGGAUAACUGAUCUGAGAGGAUGAUCAGUCACACUGGAACUGAGACACGGUCCAGACACCUACGGGUGGCAGCAGUCGAGAAUCAUUCACAAUGGGCGCAAGCCUGAUGGUGCGACGCCGCGUGGGGGAUGAAGGGCUUCGGUCUGUAAACCCCUGUCAUCUGUGAGUAAGGUCUCGUAUAAAAGCUACGAGAAUUGAUAUUAACAGAAGAGGAAGGGACGGCUAACUCUGUGCCAGCAGCCGCGGUAAUACAGAGGUCCCAAGCGUUGUUCGGAUUUACUGGGCGUAAAGGGUGCGUAGGCGGUUAGAAAAGUUUGGUGUGAAAUCUUCGGGCUCAACCCGGAAACUGCACUGAAAACUAUUUAACUAGAGGAUCGGAGAGGAGAUUGGAAUUCUCAGUGUAGCAGUGAAAUGCGUAGAUAUUGAGAGGAACACCAGUUGCGAAGGCGGAUCUCUGGACGAUUCCUGACGCUGAGGCACGAAAGCUGGGGGAGCGAAGAGGAUUAGAUACCCUCGUAGUCCCAGCCGUAAACGGUGCUCACUUGCUGUGGGCGGAUUCGACCCCGUCCGUGGCGAAGCUAACGCGUUAAGUGAGCCGCCUGGGGAGUACGGUCGCAAGAUUAAAACUCAAAGAAAUUGACGGGGGCCUGCACAAGCGGUGGAGUAUGUGGCUUAAUUCGAUGCAACGCGAAGAAC